AUACGUAGGUGGCAAGCGUUGUCCGGAAUGAUUGGGCGUAAAGGGCGCGUAGGCGGCCCGGUAAGUCUGGAGUGAAAGUCCUGUUUUUAAGAUGGGAAUUGCUUUGGAUACUGUCGGGCUUGAGUGCAGGAGAGGUAAGUGGAAUUCCCAGUGUAGCGGUGAAAUGCGUAGAGAUUGGGAGGAACACCAGUGGCGAAGGCGACUUACUGGACUGUAACUGACGCUGAGGCGCGAAAGCGUGGGGAGCAAACAGGAUUAGAUACCCUGGUAGUCCAUGCCGUAAACGAUGUCUACUAGCCGUUGGGGGAUUUGAUCCUUUAGUGGCGCAGCUAACGCGAUAAGUAGACCGCCUGGGGAGUACGGUCGCAAGACUAAAACUCAAAUGAAUUGGCGGG
rnacentral:rRNA from 1 species